rnacentral:rRNA from 1 species
AGCCGCGGCAAGACGGAGGAGGCAAGCGUUGUCCGGAUUGACUGGGCGUAAAGCGCGUGUAGGCGGGAUCUUAAGUCGGUGGUGAAAUCCCCAGGCUUAACCUGGGAACUGCCGCCGAAACUGAGGUUCUUGAGGGCAGGAGAGGAGAGUGGAAUUGCUGGUGUAGCGGUGAAAUGCGUAGAGAUCAGCAAGAACACCCGUGGCGAAGGCGGCUCUCUGGACUGCUCCUGACGCUGAGACGCGAAAGCCAGGGGAGCGAACGGGACUAGAUACCCCGGUAGUCCUGGCUGUAAACGAUGGUUACUAGGUGUUGGGGGAUCGACCCCCUCGGCGCCGAAGCUAACGCAUUAAGUAACCCGCCUGGGGAGUACGGCCGCAAGGCUGAAACUCAAAGGAAUUGACGGGGGCCCGCACAAGCGGUGGAGCAUGUGGCUUAAUUCGACGCUACGCGAAGAACCUUACCAGGACUUGACUGUCACGGAAUCCCGGGGAAACUCGGGAGUGCCCUUCGGGGAACCGUGAAACAGGAGGUGCAUGGCC